rnacentral:rRNA from 1 species
AAGAGACAGCAGCAGCCGCGGGAAUACGGAGGGUGCAAGCGUUAAUCGGAAUUACUGGGCGUAAAGCGCACGCAGGCGGUCUGACAAGUCAGAUGUGAAAUCCCCGGGCUUAACCUGGGAACUGCAUUUGAAACUGUCAGGCUGGAGUCUUGUAGAGGGGGGUGGAAUUCCAGGUGUAGCGGUGAAAUGCGUAGAGAUCUGGAGGAAUACCGGUGGCGAAGGCGGCCCCCCGGACAAAGACUGACGCUCAGGUGCGAAAGCGUGGGGAGCAAACAGGAUUAGAUACCCCUGUAGUCCCUGUCUCUUAUAC